rnacentral:rRNA from 1 species
UGGGGUGGAAUUCCCCCUUAGAGUUGGAUCCUGGGUCAGGAGAAACGCUGAGCGGCGUGCUUAACACAUGCAAGUCAAACGAAAAGCGAUGGAAGCUUGCUUCUAUCAUUCUUAGUGGCGAACGGGUGAGUAACGCGUAAUCAACCUGCCCUUCAGAGGGGGACAACAGUUGAAAACGACUGCUAAUACCGCAUACGAUCUACCCUCGGCAUCGAGGAUAGAUGAAAGGUGGCCUCUAUUUAUAAUCUAUCGCUGAAGGAGGGGAUUGCGUCCGAUUCGCUAGUUGGAGGGGUAACGGCCCACCAAGGCGAUGAUCAGUAGCCGGUCUGAGAGGAUGAACGGCCACAUUUGGGACUGAGACACGGCCCAGACUCCUACGGGAGGCGGCAGUGGGGAAUCUUCCGCAAUGGACGUAAGUCUGACGGAGCAACGCCGCGUGAGUGAUGACGGCCUUCGGGAUGUAAAGCUCUGUUAAUCGGGACGAAAGGCCUUCUUGCGAAUAGUUAGAAGGAUUGACGGUACCGGAAUAGAAAGCCACGGCUAACUACGUGCCAGCAGCCGCGGUAAUACGUAGGUGGCAAGCGUUGUCCGGAAUUAUUGGGCGUAAAGCGCGCGCAGGCGGAUUGGUCGGUCUGUCUUAAAAGUUCGGGGCUUAACCCCGUGAUGGGAUGGAAACUGCCAAUCUAGAGUAUCGGAGAGGAAAGUGGAAUUCCUAGUGUAGCGGUGAAAUGCGUAGAUAUUAGGAAGAACACCAGUGGCGAAGGCGACUUUCUGGACGAAAACUGACGCUGAGGCGCGAAAGCCAGGGGAGCGAACGGGAUUAGAUACCCCGGUAGUCCUGGCCGU